UUGCUAUUUGCCUUGUUGUUGGUCACAUUCAUGUGCAAGGACCCAGUUAAGAGCCUGAAAUGUUUCGAGUGUCGGAGAUUUCUUUGUGAUCACAAGAUAAAAUGUACGAAAGAACAAAAGUUCUGUUAUACUGAGAGACCAAAAGACCUAUUUCCAAAAGCAGGAUGUGCUCGAGUUUGCCCGAAUACACCAUACCAAACAAAAUGUUGCAAAUCUGACUAUUGCAACUGACUUUUGCAACCAGCUUUCUUUAGUUAAUCAGCACGCGUUGAUUAAAACAAAUCAUGCCAAA